CUCAGGUAGAAUAAUAUCCAAAGACAAUGGACUAAAGAGGACAAUGGCCUCUUAUCACUACUUCUCAAUAAAAUAAAAUAGUAAAAAUGUAGCCAUUUCAAUAUUUUCUUAAGUAAAUACUGAAAAUCCUUAUUGUCAUUAUGUUCUAAUAUUUCACUGAUGACAUGAAAGCAUUCUGAAGAAUGCACAGUAGGCAUUUUUCCAUUUGCAAAUUUAACAUUCAAGGUUUUGAUGAUUUGUGAGAGAAAGUGGAGGACUAUGACAUGUAGCAAUUUGUAAUUUUGCUAAGGCACUAAUCUGAAUCACCCCCACUGUGAGCUGGUAUGUGGGGAAUUAGUCAUUUAGGUGGUGAAUAAGCCAGUACCUGCAUUUUGAUGUUAGUUUGUUGCUCGCUAGUGCUUUUCAUAAAUCUAGGGGGUUCUUAAAAGUCUCAGGAAAAAUGCCAAGAGUCUAUUGUAUAGCUCAAUACUCUUAGGUGUUGGACUCAUAACAUGCAAAACUGCAUAUUGCCUCUCGUAACACAGAUAAAUCUCCCUGGGAUGACCCUAUCUGACUACCAGAGCCACUUGCAGGUGACCAGAGUGGUCAAAACCAGACAGUGAGAUCCUAAGAGAUGGGGACUAAGUUUGUUUACCUUUGUACUCCAGGGCCUUGUACAGGUCUGGCACCUAGAGCAUCCUCAAUACUGUUUGCUGAAUGGGAAAAGGAAAGAAUGAAUGUGGGAAGAGACUUCAUCUGAAGAUCCACAUCCCUGGUGCCAGCAGAGAAUGUCCCUCAGCUGAUUUCAAGAACUUGGUACUCAGGAGGGAGAUAAUGGAUGGUUAGCAAACCUAAAUAUCUGCACAACUUGGAUCACUUACGGGAAGCUAGGACUUUGGAGAGAGGUAAAGAUUAGAUAGUCCAAAGGCCACUGAGGCAGGAGUCAAGCAGGGAGGGAAACCCUGAACAAAAGACAGCAAUAAAGAGAAGGUUGCACUGGUCAGCUCACGAAUUCCAAGAGCACAGGACCUGAAUGGGAGAGGAUGGCACAGCUGUGUUUUGAAGUAACCUUGUCCCUCUUGAGGCCCAGACAAGCCACACCUGGCCAGAUUCUGCCACUCAGCACUGAUCUACAUCCUCCCCUUUUAAAUCAAUUGCAAAAACCUCCCAAUUGUCUUAAUUACCACCAACUGCCCAAUCAACUGCCCCCUCACGGAACAACACCCCGGUGUAGAUCGAAGCUCAAUUAGCCAGGAGCAGAGAAUUUAAAACAAACCCAAACCCACCCAUACACACACUCACAGAGCUUUGGUGUUGUGUUGCCUUUUGUGAUUGCAAAGCCCUACACUCUCGCUAUUGCAAGCAUGGUCCAUGGACCAGCACCAGCAUCAUUGUCGAAGAGGAUGCUAAAGGGCAGAAUCUCAAGCCCUCCCUCUGGACCUACCGAAUCAGAAUCUGCAUUUUAACAGAAUCCCCAGGUGAUUCCAUAUGCCCAUUAAAUUUGAGAAGCCCUGCCCACCACCACCUGAGCCCUGCCUACUCCUCUCACAUAGUUUGAUCACUUCCCCCUUGACCACCAUGUUCCAGCCAUCCCAACCAUUCUGCUCCUCAAACACGCCACACUCAUUCCCAACGUAGGGUCUCUGUCCUCCCUGUUCCCUCUGUCUGGAACCACGGAUGGGCUUUCUUGACAUUCACAUCUCGACUUAAAUGUCAGUUCUUCACGGAGGCCUUCUCUCAGCACACAAUCCAAACGAAAUUCCUGAGCACUCUCAGCCAUGUUAUGCAAUGUUACUUCUGUGCAUAGUGCCAUGGCUCUCACCCUUGUGUAUAUCAGAACCACCUAGAGAAUUUCUCAAGAAAAACAAACUCCUGUGCCCACUCCCCCAGAUUUCUGAUUCAGUAGGAACAACAUGGUUCUGAAAUGAGAAUUCUGAGAAUUUGCAUUUCUAACAAGUUCUUGGGUGACACUGAUCCUGUUAGUCUAGAACCACCCUUUCAGAAUCAUGAGCACUGUCUCACCAUCGAAUGAUAUUUUUCUUGAUCAUUCUUUCCUGUACAGUCAUCUCCACUGCACCAGUGUCCAUUCCCUGAGACUAGGAAGUCUGUAUGUUUUGUUCACCCUGUAUCUCCAGUGCUCUAUACAUAGCAGGUGCUCUUUAAUAUUUGUUGAAUAAAGAACGGGAUUCACUAGUAACCAAUUUUUCCAUUAUGGAUUUUGCAUCUUUUGUGUUUGGCUUGCUCUAAGGUAGCAACAACUUUGCAUUCCAUCAUGUGCCUAUCUGUAAGUUGUCAUGAGAGAUUUGCAUUCAUUAACCAUAGUUUAACUUACAAAAAUGCAUGCCCCACACAGACAAUUGAGAGCUGACUAUGUUUUAUCUAAUCCAUCUGUUAUUGACAGUAUAUUUUUACGUGGUUGACUUUACUAGUUGUUCUUCUACUUGAAGACAGAGACUCCAUCCAAUCCCACACCAAGGAAAUAGCCCCUUCUUUUUAACAUGAGCUCCGUUAUAUUCAGUAACUUGAAUGCAACAUCCUUUUACACACAAAACUGAAA
ensembl:lncRNA